GUUAACGUCAUAUUAUGAAAUUUGACCUUUAAAUUAAUUAAGUAUAUAAUACGGUUUUGAUACUUACAAUAAAAAACUGUACCAAUAUAAUAAGUAUGUAUAAACAUCUAAGUAAACAUAAAAUCAUGAUUCGACAUUCAUUGGAAGUUACAUGUUUGAUGACAAUAGGAGAUCUUGUUGCUCAAUGUAUAGUCGAUAAAAAACCUAUCUCACAAAUAAACUUAAAUAGAACACUCAAAUUUGGAUCUUUGGGAUUCAUUUUAGUAUAUUUUUAGGGGCCCUGUAUGUCGGCUUGGUACAAGUUCCUGACAGUCUCGGUUAAUGCGAAAGACCCACGUGCACCGAUUAAGAAAAUGUUAAUGGACCAACUCAUUUUUGCACCCAGUAUGUUGCCCAUUGUCAUGACAGCGGUUGGAAUGUAUGUAAAUAAUUAUACGUGGAAAAAGACGAAGAAUGAAAUCAGAAAUAAAUACUUCGAUAUUUUGAUAACCAAUUAUCAAGUAUGGCCCAUUGUGCAGCUGGUUAAUUUUAAAUAUGUACCUUACAAAUAUCAAGUUCUGGUUGCCCAAUGUGUUGGUAUAUUUUGGAACUCUUAUUUAUCAUGGAAAACUGUCAGCAAGUAAGAGUAAAUAAGUUACUUACAUUCUUUAUUACUAACUAAAUUCCAAUAAAUGU